GUAGCCCAUAUAUUAUUAAAAAAAAUGAACCAUAUAUGGAAAAGAGGAGUAAUAAAAUAACAAUAAAGAGAACAGAUAAAACGAAAAGAAAAACAACCUUCAACUCUUCACUUUCCAAAAAGCUACUAGCAAGUAACAAAAUGUUGUCUCCCAUCCUCUGCUAAGAAACAAAUCUGCAAGGGAAGCCUAAAUUAACGAUUCCAAACGUCAACCCAACAACGGAUCGGAUCUCCGUCGAUCAUCAUCAGCAAACUUCUUCAAUCAAACAAGUAAAUUAUCCCACCAAGUAGUGUUUCCGGGCAAAAAUCGACAUUCCUGGGCAAUUUGGUGGGCAAGUUGAUUCCUUAUUCUUAGAAUAAACUUAAAUUUACAAUUAUCCAACGAUUUUGCUAUUUGUUUCCCCUCAACAAUAACUGAUCUAUGGACUGACCUAUCGUAUGUUGUGGCUUUCAUUCUUUUGAUGACGGUUUUUGAGUCUCCUUCAACCUCGAGACUGCGAACUCCAACAAGAUAGAAAGAGUUAUCACAUGCUUGCAUACAAUGGCUUCUGCAAAAAAUAGGUCAGUAAUGUUAGAAUUUCUUAUCACUCUGGCCUUUAUUACAACCCCAUCUUCUUUUAUCACAACUAUGCCUAAAAUUGAAUGUUGGCUACAGAAUCGUAAGACGCGUCAAAUUUAGCACGAACCCAUGACCUCUCUAAUAGUUUCCAAAUAGUCAGUUGUUGGUCGUCAUUCCUAGCUCCAACAGUGUUAUGAAUUUUAAAUUCCUCUUAAAAAUGCCUAAUCUAUGUGACCACAUCAGGAGUAUUCUGAGCAACUUUAUCAUGAACCAAUUUGUUUCUAGAAAACCAAAUAGCUCAGAUUGUAAUAAGUGUUAGCUAACGAUUCAAACUAUUCAUGAUUUUGAACAAACUUAUAAACCAAGACUUAAAGUUUUCAUUGUCUCUCAUUGCAGGUCUAUUCAACCCUCAAAGCAUCCUAUAUUUAAUUACCCCUGGGACAGUCACAAAUAAUAGGCCUGUUUGUUUCAACACCGGCCUCACAUCACAAGCAAAUUGUUGUGUCCCUGAGCCUUUUAAUCCACAAAUUAUGAUAGCUAGGAAUAUAGUUGUUAAAAAUCUCCAGUUUAUAAUCUUUACUUUUGAAGGAACUGUAGUGUCCCAUAAGGCUUUAUAGAUAGGUCUAUUAAGAUUGUUACUUCCGAAGCGAAGUUUCUAUAAUUCUUUGUAACCACUUCGAACUAAGUACUCCCUUGUUGGCUCACCUGACCAUGUCAUCCGUCUCUUCAAUUUCAGUUCAAGGAAUUGAGAUGUUGAUGAUAUGCAAGGCAUCAGCAUCACAAAAAAUCUCCCUAAUUAGAGGUACAUUCUAUUGCUUUGUAUCUUGCACAAAGAGAUCAUUUACCAGCAUAAUGUCCUAAUUAAGACAAGGAGUACUAACCAUAUUAUGACCUUCUCCAGAUAGCUAAUUAUCUUCCCAGAUCUGAAUUUGGCUACCAUUACCAAUCUGCCAUUUUGUCCCACUUUUCAACAACCCUCUCGUGGUACAAAUACUAUGCCAAGGUAGUGAAGGGUAAUGACCCAAUCUAGCUUCCAUAAAAGUGGUGUUAGGAUAAUACUUGGCCUUUAAAACAUAUGAAAGUAAUAAACCCUGAUUAGCAAAUAAUCGUCAGCCCCAACGAUCUAGUAAAGCAAUAUUGAACUGACUCAAGCUUCUAAAUCCCAAACCCCUAUUUUUCUUAAGGUCACAAAGGGUAUCCCAAGAACACCAAUGAAUGUCCCUUUCACCAUGUCCUUUUUGCCCCCAAUAUUUUCUAAUAAUAGCUCCCAUCUCCUUACAAAAGGAAUUAGGUAGCAAGAAACAACCAUAGUAUAUGUGAAAAUUACUUUUAAAAUAGACUUAAUAAAAAUUUCUUUCUCAUCCUGUGAUAAUAAGCGAGUACUCUAGUUAUUAAUCCUUAAACGCAAUUGAUCUUUGAGCUUCUAAAACAUCAAUUUCUAAUCACAUCCCACCAUAGUUGGUAAACCCAGAUAGAGCUCAAGAUUACUUGUUACCCUUAUAUCCAAAAUAUUAGUAAUAUGGCCCUACAUAGAAUCCCCAACGUUGCCACUAAAAUAUAUGAGAUAUUUUUCAAAUUUUAACAAUUAUCCAGAAGCCAUCUCGUACUCUUUAAUAAUAGCCUACAUUCUGUAGCUUCCUCAAAGAGGAUGCUAUUGUUGGCAAACAAUAAAUGAGAGAUGCAAGGCCCUCCUCUACAAACAGAGUUACCUGUCAAUACUCCUUCAUUACAAGCCAAUCGCAAUGCAGUCGAUAACCCCUCACUACAAAUAAGAAAAAGGUAGGGGUUAAGAGGGUCUCCCUACCAUAAACCACAAGUUGGUUUUAUCAGAUCUCUGAACCACCCAUUCAUAGCAACAGAAUAUAUAACAGUCAAAACGCAAUACAUGAUGAGAUCUACCCAAUUCUUUCCAAACCCCAUCGCUCUCAUCAUAUCUAUCACAAAAUGUCAUUCGAUUCCAUCGUAUGCUUUGCUCAUAUGGAGCUUUAAAGAAAAAAAAGCCUUUCUUUCUAGCCUAUUUUUGUUUUAGUGCAUGAAGCAUCUCAUAAGCUAUCAAAACAUUAUCAGUAAUCAUCUACCUUAGAAUAAAAGCACUUUGUGCUUCAUUAAUGCACGCACUCAAGACCGUUUGGAACUUAUUAACAAUCAUUUUGGCCACAAUCUUAUAUAAAAUAUUACAUGAGCUUAUCGAUCUAAAAUGUGACAUGUUUCGAGAGUUCUUUAUCUUGGGAAUAAAAACUAUAGUCGUACUAUUAACACAAUCAAUACUAAUAUCCUUUCUCAAAACCCCAAGGCAAAAAUCCACCGCAUCAAAACCAACUAUGUGCCAGUAACUUUGAUAAAAUAGCACAGGCAAACCAUCCAGACCACACGUCUGCGAAGGUGCAUGCUUUUAACAGUAAGUAAAACAUCAUCGACACAGAACUCCACGCAUAAAGUCCAAUUCAUAUUAGAAUUAAUACACCUACUAACACCUGAAAGAAUGUGAGAUGCAUCCAUCCUCCCUUUACUAGUAAACAACCUUUCGAAGUAAGUAAAAGCCAAGGAAUCCAUUUCCAUAGUAUCCAUGGUAAAACCACUACUAGAAUUCUCAAGACCCAUUGUAUUUGUCUUCCUCCAUUGUGAAGCAAAAUUGUGAAAAUAGCUGGUGUUUUUAUCCCCAUACUUCAACCAGUUCACAUGGGCCCUUUGUUCUUAGAUCCUUUUCUCUUUGUUCGUUUCCAAAUUAAUGGCUAAUUUAGUUUCCAUAAUAUCACCUAAAACAUCAUUUUCAGGCUCUAGCUCCAUGAGAUUCUCAAGUUUUUGCUGCAAAGCAUCAAACCAACCAUGUUUUGCUUUUCUUACCUUAGCAUACCAUUUUUUCAAAUGAUUCCCCAACAUUUUCAGACGGUACAGAAGUAACCACUGACUAGCUUUCCAACAAUGUUUAAUCUCAGAUUCACAGUUAUCCUCCAAUAGCCAAGCAGCCUCAAAUCUAAAUCAAUCAAUUUUUCGUCGUCUCAUCAUUAAAACUUUGGUUUGAAUCAUAAUCGGAGAAUGAUCCGAAAUGUUACUCGUAAUAUGUUGUACAUCAUGAUCAGGAAACAUAUGCCACCAACACGGAUUAGCAACCGCUCUCUAUCCAACAGCUCCCGAAUAUUGGUUUCAGAACUUUGCCCUCUUUCCCAUGUAAACUAGGGUCAUUUGAAGCCCAGAUUAGCUAACGAGCAGUCAUCCAAAUCCUGACGAAUUACUCCCGAAUAUUGGUUUCAGAGCUCUACCCUCUUUCCCAUAUAUACUAGGGUCAUUUGAAGCCCAGAUUAGCUAACGAGCAGUCAUCCAAAGCCUGACGAAAUUCUUCUAUUUUACAAUCCCUUCUAGCUCUACCACCUAUUUUUUCAAAAGAAUAAGUGAUUUCAUUUUAAAUUCCCCCAUAACCAUCCAUGCACUGACAUUAUUUUUCCCAAGUUGUCUUAGUAAAUUUCAGGACUCUCUCCUAAACCUUUCAUCUAGAGCUCUAUAAAACCCGGUAAGCCUCAAUUUUUUUACCAUUUCCAUCAUUAGUAAUGUUCACUUUGAUAAAAUGAGAAUGAAAUUCCUCAGUGUUAAUAGAAAAACCACUUUUCCAUCCUAAUGAUAACCCUCCCCUCAGUCCUUCAGUGUCAACAUCAACUCCCUUGUUAAAACCGUAUCUACAUCUAAUAUGUUUCAUAUUUACAUCCAACACUUUAGUCUCAAUUAGGAAACUAAUUUUGGUGUUAUUUUUUUAGCCAAUGCUGAAGUCUAUUAAUAGUCUGUGGUUUCCCCAGCCCAUGAACGUUCUAACUUAAGAUAUUUAUUGGGCCCGACUGACCCAUUUAACAAGCAAUAGUCAACCCAUGUGUGGUCUUAUCAAAAUCCAUAAAGUCAGAAACUUUAGAAGACAUUAAUUUCACCCGCACCUUCUUUUUUCCUUUGUUGAUUCUCAUGCUACAAUCCUCAGAUUCACAAUCAAUCAAUUUGCCCCCAUUUAUGCCCAAUCCAUUCGCACUUCCCAUGUUUAGACCCAGAUUGAUGCUGAUUUGAUUAACAAAUUGAUCCUCCAGAUCUAGCUCAUUAGAGAACUCAUUUCCUAAAUUGGAGGAAACAAAAUUCGUGCCCUUAAUUUCUAUAUCUUCCCGGAGCCACCUACUAUGAUUUGAUACCACCCUUCUAGACAACACUCGGAUGGAAGCAUCCUAUCCCAUAACCACUUCUGAUUCGUCAUUAUGAAUACGUUUCAAGCAAAAACUAUCGAUGUGUCCAAAUUUCCCACACAAAAAAUAAAAAAGAGAGAGUUUUUCAUAUUUGAAUGUAGCAUAAAUAGAAUUUUGUGCACCUAAUAACAAUUUCUUUCGUCGAUGCAAUGGUUGUUGGAUAUCAAUCCAAACCCGAAUUCUCAUAUGAUUUUGAAAGUUCCUUGUGGUUGCCUUCAUAUCAUACUCAAUAAACUGGCUAAUAAAAUUACCAAAUUGUUUAGCCAAAACUUCAGACAUCAACCCAUUCGAUAUAUUAUGUAUUCAUACCUAGAAAUCUACGUAAAGCAAUAGGAUUGAUUUGGGAUCUUCACCUUCCUUCAGUCUAUGGAAAACCAAAAGAUGGCUAUUAAAAGUCUAAGGGUCACCGUGUUCAAUCCUAUUAAUAUCCACAUCAUACAGAAAGUGAAAGAGGAAUCGUUUAUCACUUAAAUCAAAAAUCGCCACGCCACUAAUGGGGUGCCAAACAUUUGCUAUCAUAUUCCUCAUAGCUUGAAAGUUAACAAUACUAGAUGUAAAAAAACUUCCCACCAAACAAAGCUUGUAAGAGGCUAGUCCGUAUCCACUAUCUCCUCUAAUAACAUCCCACCCUUCUUCCUCCCUAUCCUCCAAAGAUAACCUGGUUAAAUAUGCAUCCAUUAAUAGGCCAACUUUAACUAGAAUUGAAUUCUCAAAAACAAAAAAGAAGAAGAAAAAGACAGAAAACACCGCGUGCCACAAAGAGCAGAGGUCCAAUUAACUAUUGGUAUUUUAAAUAAAUGUGUACUCUUCUAAUUUAUACAAGCCUAUUUUUACUUAAAUUCUCUUUAUAUUUUUUCAAAUACGUUGCUAUUAUUUAAAAAAAUUCGAGUUAGAGUUUUAUGAAAACAUUAUUAGAAAAAUUUUAUGUUCGUUUAAAGAUUAACAUAGUUCAAUUCUCGAUUUAAUCAGAUUUAAUGUGAUUAUCAACCAUUAAAAAGUAUAAAAAAAAUCAAUAAUUCAGUCAUGUUUUUCUUUUUAAAAAAAUCUUUCUAGCUUUUGGGGAUUAAAACUCUUCAAACAUUAGGCGUGCAUGAAGCUUGAGGCGACCAUUGAGCUGAGAUGGCGAAUCUGUGAUCUAAUACCUGACGUCGAUGUUAUUGAAAAUAUUGGCCCCAAAUUCAAAUAUAUACUUUAAAGAUUUAUUUAUUUAAUAGUAUUUCCUAUCACACUCUGUGUUAUAAUAAUGGCCUUAAAAUCAGAAGAGAAAUAAGUGAAUUUUGAAAUUUUAUUACGAAAAUUACAUACUUAUAAUAUAAAAAUAAUAUAUUUAAUAAAGAAUAAAAUUAAUAAUAACACAAGAAAUAUGUACGAUAAUAAAAUUAAAAUGUAUAUAACAAAUUAAAUUAAAGUUUGUUUGAAUGGUAAAAUUAAUUCUUUAUAAUAAAAAAAAGAGUGAUAAAAUUAAUAUUUUAUUAAUACAAAUGGUAUAGGUUUAAAUUCCAUCACAUGUAAAUUUUGUAUUUGCUUUCUAAAAUAAAAAAAAGGACUAAAAUACCAUUGAAUAAUAUAACUUAUUUUAAUUAUAAAAAUAAAUUUUUAUAAUUUUUUCUAAUUAAAUGGUAGUUAAUGAACAACUCAAUUAGGAAUUUAAAUAGAAACACUACCCCUUUCAAUUUUGUCUAUUUCAAUAAAUAAAAUUAAUAAAUUUUAGAAAAUCUCCCCAACUGAAGCCCCAUCUUCCUGUUCCAGAUGCACAGACGGAAGAUCUCAUAAACAUGCAGAAAAAGAAAAUAAAAACAUUAAUUGAAUAUAUUUUGAAUUUAAUCAAGGACUAAAUUGAAUAAAUAGUGCAUAGACUAAAUCGAAUAUACCAUAACUUAAAUCAACAUACCAAUUGAUGAAUUAAGUCAACAUUAUGGACUAAAUCAAACAAAAAUUACGGGACAAAAUCAAACAAAAAUAGGGGAAAAAGUUUUUAAAAAAAAGGAUAUAAAAGUCAAAUUGAGACUUUAAUGUACGUUAAAGUAUCUAGAAGGUCGGUAGAGACCGAAUUAAAUAAGUUUCAGAUCAAUUUAGUUAUUAUACUAUUAAAAGAAUUAAAUAAACUCAAAUUGUAACAAAGGUAAUAUUUAUUGUAUAAAAAAUAUCUUAAAUUUAUUUUUAAUUGCAGUUCAAUUUCAAAUAAAAAAUUUUAAAUAAUAAAUAAUAUUAUAUAAAUAGUAAAAAUUAACUAUAUUCUAAUUUGAUCUUAUUUAAUUCUUUUUAAUAGUACAUAGAUUAAAUUAAUUAAUUUAAUUAAAUACCUAUAAUAAAGGUAUCAUUAAGAAAGAAACAAUUUAAGUGCAGAAUCAUAGUUUCACUCUAUAAAUAUUUCUUUUUAGAAUCCUAUAAUUAGCUUUGAGAUUUAAAAAAAUGAAAGCUUUGAUUUUUAUGUAAUUUUUUUUGAAAAAAACGUUCAAAAGUUUCAACUUUUUCUCAAAACAGUAAAAAAAAACUUUGACUUUCUUUUUUAAAUUUAGAAAUAAGAAAAAUUCAAGGAAAGCUCUGGAUGAUCGGCCGGAACGCAUGCGGUGAGGCUCAUUGGGUCAGAGGGCAAGGAUAGUAUAAACAAUCCUAUAAUUACUUAUUUAGCCUUUCAAUUAAAAAAUGUUUUUAACAUUUCAUUUAAUUUUUUUUAUCUAUUUCAGUCUUUAAAUUUAUAUUUUUUAUCAGAUUAUUUUAAAAUAGAGGAAAAUGUUAACGUAGGUUAACUUUGUUAAUGUGGACAUAUACAUAGAUUACUAUGUAAAUGCCACAUAACCAAUCAAUUAUUUUUUUUAAAAUAUAAAAAGUAUUUAAAGUACUUAAAAAUUUUGUCAAAAAUAAAAAAUAUUAUAUUUAAAAAGAAUAAAAAAAUAUUAAAAAUUAAUUAUUAAUGUAACAUCCAUAUGACAGUUCACAUGCAAAAUUAAUUUUUAUUAAUUUUUCCAUCUAUUUUAUAGUAAUUUAAUAAAAAAAAUACAAGAUAAAUGAUAAAUAAAUAAGUUUUUAAAUGACUUUACUUUAAAUAAGUUUAAAGUGAAAAAUUAAAUGUAGGAUUAAAAUAACUUUUUUAGUUUGAAGGCUAGAUACAUUGUUGUAUCUUAAAUGAAAAGAAUAAACAUGAACAGAGAAUAAAGAUUUUACUUUUUUUUAGGAAAAAGGUUUUUGAAUCAAAAUGAGAACAGAGCUUGAAUUGGGUUUAAAAUAUAAGGUAAAUUGCACUUAACAUAUUUUUACCAUUUAAUUUUAAAAAGUUAUAAAAUGGUAAUUAAACUAUUUAAAAGUUUUCAUUUAAGUUACUGAAUUAUUUAAAAAAUUGAAUUAUUCGAAAAUUUUUAUUUUUGAAUCAUUAAAUCAUUAAAUUUUAUUUUUAAAAUCCAACUAGCAAGUUCUAAGCAACAAUAUCAAUUUCAUAUAAUGAAUUAAUUUUACAAAACACGAAAGAGUUGGAGAUUUACAAAAUGUUGAGGGAUAAAUUUAAUUAUGUAACUAAAAAAUAGAUUGUAAAACCAAGCAAAUUAAUUCUAAAAACUAGUUAAAUAUUUAAAAAAAUACUAAAAACUUAAUUUUGUUGUUUUAAAUACUAAAAUAUAUAAUUUUUAUAUGUAUCACAUUAAACAUACAAUGUAAAUCCCCUAUUAAAAAAUAUCAAAUUCAAGGGUUUGUGCCUUUGUUAGAGGUGUUAUUAGAGAUGCUAAUGGGUUGCGGCAAUGUGGUUUUUCAAUGUAGAUUGGAGAAUGUACAAUAUUUCAAAUUGAAGCAAGGGUGAUGCUUGAAGGGCUCCACUUAGCAUGGAACAAAGGAUUUUGGAAGUUGGA
rnacentral:lncRNA from 1 species